ensembl:lncRNA
AAAGGAGAGACUGGAGGGUACUGACUGAGGUACACUUGAGAUGUGUGGGGUCCCAGAUAACCCUGAGCCAUUGAGAGUUGGUAUAUGACUCAUCACUUGACAUUUCUGAUAAAGGUGUAAAAUGUGACUGCGAGAUAGCUGUAACCGUCACACACACACACACACACACAGUCUCUCACUCAGGGGUCUGCUCUCGGAUUUGUUUCUCUCCUUCAGCUCCACACAGGAUGGGAGUCUACUGGACAGCUGUUCUCCUCUGCCAUCUUCUAGCCUCUUUAGUCCACUCACUGACAUGCAAUGAACGAAAACAGUACAAGUGGCCAGCCAGCUCUCCCACAAGGUGCUGCCAGAAAUGCGAACCAGGUGAGUUCAUGGAAAAAAGAUGCCAGGAUGGGUCCAUAGAAACUAAAUGCCAGGAGUGCAGCCCAGAUAUGUAUACAGAUGUUCCCAAUUUCCUCGCCCAAUGCAAGAUGUGCAAACCUUGCAGCAAAAACCAGGUGCAGAAGGCAGCUUGUUCGCGACUGCAGAACACUGUGUGUGACUGCAAGCAAGGAUAUAAAUGCACAGAUGCUGAAUGUUCAGAGUGUGAAAAGGAGGACCAUGACCAUGGCCAAGACCAAGUAACCACUACACAACAGCCCACAACUACAGAACGUAGAAAGACAACUGUCAACAAAGAGAGACAUGAGACAGUGCUUCUUCCAUUGGUGCUGAUAGUUUGUGUUUGCAUACUCCUCCUCAUCCUUGUCCAUAUGCGCAAAAGGCUGGACCCUCUCGGUUGGUGUACAUUUGAUGAUUUGUCAUCCUCAAAGGAUACACCACAGAGCACAGAACUAGAAGAGGCCGUGCCCAUACAAGAAGUAUGUUCAGACCUCCAGGAAGUAAAAGAUGGACUAGAGGGAGAAUUUUGUCUUGAACACAACCAUAUUUACUGACCUACAUUCAUUCAUUCACAUACACACACACACACACACACACAAACACAUACACACACACACAGACACACAAACAUUUACGCAACAUACCUCCUAUGCAAAUGAAAAACACAAUACACAAUACAUGCAUUUGUAAUUUGUAUUUUGUACAUUAUAGUUGCUAAAUGUUUUUCUAUAUUUUAUGUGUAUCUUGUAUCUGUAAUAUGAAGGAAAUGUAUUUAUUUUGUGACAUGGUCUUUAGAAUGUCAAGAAAUCUUUGACAUUUGCACAUCUAUGAAGAAGUUUUUUUUACCUUAGUACCUUUGCAUAUCAAUUUGAAACCAAGUAUAAAUGAACCAUACAGUAAUGGACAUUUCUGAAAUAACUUUUAGUAUAGUUACACUAUAUCAGGGCUAAAUCCCUUUGUGAUUUAAGAAAGUUUAAGGAAAGGCAAAAGGAUAUAUUGGCUUACCCAGGAUAGGUAUAGAACUAAUGGAAGGACUUUGUCAAGAGCAAUAAGAAAAGAGUGGCCGUAAGAAGUUGUGCCACAAAACACACAGUCCAUUUUAGAAGAAUGUGGAAAUUAUAUCCACAAAUGAACAUGUGAGGGUGGAAACCAUGGUAUAAGAGGGAUAAUACACUGUGGUGUUUGGGUACCUGAAAAUAGUUACACUUUACAUUGCACUUCUUAGCACUUGCAUUAUUUUCUGUUACUAUGCAGGUGCUGCUAUCCCAUACUUAAUAAAUAUACAAUACAUCAAUAAUGUAAAUAAUAAAUGAAAAGCGUCAACAAAAUGUCUGUGAUUAAUUUAUUGCACUUCCAUAUACAGGACAUAUGACAAGCAUUGCAACUUCCUUUGGUCCAUAGAGAAAAUCCUUUACUGGAAUGGACCCAUGACCAACCUGUGUCAGAUCAAUACUAGAUACAUUCCAGCCAGCUGUCUCUGUGGACUUAUGUGCACUUCUGUGAGACAGCACAGUCUGGCACUAGUGGCACUAAAAACAUAAAUAAAUAAAGCAACCUCCACUUACAAACGUUUGUUUCUUACAGGCAUAUUUAUGAGUUACAGUAACUCAGUACAGCCAUUAGUCUUACUGAUGCUUGUGUUAGGUGUUUUGACCUAAAGUUUAGAUCAACACCUACCACAACAUCAACAAAAACACAGGCCCUUCUGUAACAUUGUCCAGAAGCAUGUCCAUAGAGUGUCUCUUCAGGCAGCAGACACCUUCUGACACCUAACUUCUUACUUGCCCACAGCCAUUCUGUGCAAAUCUUUUUCUGGUGAUUGAAAUAUGCAGAAUUUGACCAAAAAGGUUGAGAAAAAAAAGGCAGUUUAAAAGAUACAGGGUGUGCGUUUUUCUAAAAUUAUGAGCACCAUGUUGAUGAAAGUUGUUCAAAUCUCUCUCUCUCUCUCUCCCAGUCAUUCCCUCUCUCUCUGUAUAUCUGUCUGUGUCGCUGUGGUUCUCUCUCUAUCUCUCUCUAUCUAUCUCUCUCCUCCCUUCUCACUUUGUUUCUCAGAGCUCUUCCUCUUUAGACACAUGGCUUUCUUUCCCUUGCUCCUGAAAGGGGACAGAGAUGUCUUCUCUGCUCCUUUCUUCCGUGGAUAGAGGUAUGGGAGAGGAGGGAGUGUGCACUUCACUUCCCUCAGGCUUCGGGUUACCAUGCUCUGCUCGUUCUUGCUCUUCCUCACUGCCUCCUCCUCUUCCUCCUCCAAAGCCAAACUGGUUCAGUAGGCUGACAAAGACAGUGCUUGGGUGGUGUAUGUAGAGAGGGCCUGAGAGAUGAACAGCAGAAUGACAGAGAAGAGAGAGAGAGAGAGAGAGAGAGAGAGAGAAAAGCAGAAUCACCAGACAGAGAAGAGAGAGACAGUAAGACAGACAGAGAAGAUGGUAAAACAAAGACAGUGAGGGGGAGAGAGAGACAGAGACAGAAAACAGACCAUAUAGAUUAUGUUUGUUUUAAAGACAUCACCUAGAGUUUCAGAUAUCUGGAUGAAACAUUUAAUUUCUCCUGAAACUUAUAGUUCUAUGACAACUAUGUUACCCUCACAAGUGCAAAGUUUCUGCC